UACAGAGGUCCCAAGCGUUGUUCGGAUUCACUGGGCGUAAAGGGUGCGUAGGUGGCCAGGUAAGUCUGAUGUGAAAUCUCGGAGCUUAACUCCGAAACUGCAUUGGAUACUAUCUGGCUAGAGGGUCGGAGGGGAGACUGGAAUUCUCGGUGUAGCAGUGAAAUGCGUAGAUAUCGAGAGGAACACCAGUGGCGAAGGCGAGUCUCUGGACGACUCCUGACACUGAGGCACGAAAGCUAGGGGAGCAAACAGG
rnacentral:rRNA from 1 species